CGAAGUGGUACCGGAAGGUCGACUACCUUUUCUUUNANCGAAUACAUUAGCAUGGGAUCAUGGAAUNUUGACCCUGUCCUCCUAUUUACAGUAUGGUUUUGGCAGCGCGAGGACUAGGGUAAUGAUUAAUAGGGAUAGUUGGGGGCAUUAAUAUUUAAUUGUCAGAGGUGAAAUUCUUGGAUUUAUGAAAGAUUAACUUCUGCGAAAGCAUCUGCCAAGGAUGUUUUCAUUAAUCAAGAACGAAAGUUAGGGGAUCGAAGACGAUCAGAUACCGUCGUAGUCUUAACCAUAAACGAUGCCGACCAGUCUGAUUAGGAGACGUUGAAUACAAAACACCACCAUCGGUGCGGUCGUCCUUGGCGUCGGUCUUAUCGGGGCCGUCCGCGGGGACGGCUUAGACCCGGUGGCACCGGUGAAUGACUCCCACUAGCAGCUUGUGAGA
rnacentral:rRNA from 1 species